rnacentral:rRNA from 1 species
GACGAACGCUGGCGGCGUGCCUAAUACAUGCAAGUUGAGCGCUGAAGGUUGGUACUUGUACCGACUGGAUGAGCAGCGAACGGGUGAGUAACGCGUGGGGAAUCUGCCUUUGAGCGGGGGACAACAUUUGGAAACGAAUGCUAAUACCGCAUAAAAACUUUAAACACAAGUUUUAAGUUUGAAAGAUGCAAUUGCAUCACUCAAAGAUGAUCCCGCGUUGUAUUAGCUAGUUGGUGAGGUAAAGGCUCACCAAGGCGAUGAUACAUAGCCGACCUGAGAGGGUGAUCGGCCACAUUGGGACUGAGACACGGCCCAAACUCCUACGGGAGGCAGCAGGAGGGAAUCUUCGGCAAUGGACGAAAGUCUGAACGAGCAACGCCGCGUGAGUGAAGAAGGGUUUCGGAUCGUAAAACUCUGUUGGUAGAGAAGAACGUUGGUGAGAGUGGAAAGCUCAUCAAGUGACGGUAACUACCCAGAAAGGGACGGCUAACUACGUG